rnacentral:rRNA from 1 species
AUGGGCCCUGAUCUGCGGGAGGAGGAGAAGACGGAGUCCUGUGUCAAGAACGGCGAAUCACAAGCGUGUGGAACUGAGCGUGACGACGUCUAUCUAGAGGACAUGUUCGCAGAUCAUUGUGCCGUCAGCCGCCACUAUGAAUCUGAAUAUGACAUCUUUGGUGCCCGCCCGCUCACGGGCGAUCCACUUCUGUGGGAUGACAUCCGCUCAGAGAACAGCGACGAUUAUGUUGUGCAGGAGGAUUAUGAAUGCGCUAAGCUUGCAGGCGUGGAGACAAAUUGCCCAGGGAGAAACAUCCCGUUGCAGCUAGCGAGGAAAAUCGACAAGGCAUGGAUAAGGAGCAUCGUGGAACAGAACGAGAAAUACGACGCGCGGUGCCGGGAGAUUCUGCGCCAGGACGAGGGUGCUGAUCUCCCUCCUGCUCCUUUAGAUGUGUUCCCUGAGGCAACAGGUUUAUGCGUCCAAAGGGGUCGCUGCCACCACAUUGAAUACAGGACCCAUGAUACUUCCACCACUGAUUCAGAUCUUGGAUACGCCGAACCAGAAAUGAUGCUACAGAUAUUCUUUUUGCGCUUAUCAAGCUUCUCUGUGUCCUAUUCCUGCCCCAUCAGUAUAUAUGGAGUGUUCGCUGUUCGGGAUGUGGUGGAGCCACUGCGGAACCAUGUCUUCAACCGUUCCAGAGAUGACCCUGUCACGGUUGACCAGGAUCCGUUUACCUUGCCACUCUGUAGCCCUUGUCGAGGAAUGUACAUACCAUAUGACCUAGUAUUGCUAGAAGUUGAUCUUUGGAUAAAAAAGGAAGGGGAUGGGUCAGCCGACCAAAAAUUACUUUCCGCAUACCUUGAGCUGGAUGUCUGCACAGAACAGGAGAUGGGUUCAUAUAUGGUUUUAUCCCUGGGGACAAUGUCAGCUUGGAAAUAG